rnacentral:rRNA from 1 species
ACUCCUACGGGAGGCAGCAGUGGGGAAUAUUGCACAAUGGGGGAAACCCUGAUGCAGCCAUGCCGCGUGUGUGAAGAAGGCCUUCGGGUUGUAAAGCACUUUCAGUAGGGAGGAAGGUAGUGUAGUUAACACCUGCACUUAUUUGACGUUACCUACAGAAGAAAGCACCGGCUAACUCCUGCCAGCAGCCGCGGUAAUACGGAGGGUGCGAGCGUUAAUCGGAAUUACUGGGCGUAAAGCGCAUGCAGGCGGCCUGUUAAGUCAGAUGUGAAAGCCCGGGG